AGAGAACACCCGGGACUUGAACGCUGGACCCUGAGAGAGGCCUCGGAGAGGGGAGGAAGGGUGAGGUCACGAUGUGCCUGGACAAAAACCCUUGGAGCAGGACCAGGACUAGGGUGAGACGCAUUUGCUACAGGGAUGCCAAAAGAACCCUUCAGUCAUCGAGAUAAACAGUAGUCAAUGCGAUACUUUAAAAAAGUCGUAUGGGCAAACUACAUCCUACUGGCCGGCCCCCUUGUUUUGUAAAUAAAGUUUAAUUGGAGUGUCAAGGCUGGGUUUAGGGUGAGGCAAGCGAGACAAGGUCAUGCAAGUGCAGGUUGGGAUCCUGUCUGUAUUUCAAAUGUUGAUCAUUUGUUCAUCAUGGAUUUUUGCAUUGCUUCUGAUUUUUUUAAAAUAGUACAUGAAAAAUCAUUUGUCUUAAUUACUGAGUUGUUUUUCACCAAGGUGAAUGCCUCACUCUUCCCACUCUAGACCGUGUGCUGUCCUGGAGCCAGUGAAACCAGACGAAAUUAAGGGAACAGCAGACGAAGGAACUGCCACCGUGCCCCAGACCCUGGUUUGCAAAUACAGUUCGACAAAGAUCUUGCCAGGAAUUGGCCUGGGAGAGUCCAAAGGACUGGGCUGGGGGUGGGGAAAUGAUUUUAGCCAGAAGACAAAUAUAGAGGUUGUACCCAGAAGGUUAAGAGGCUUAGGAAGGUUAAGAACUACGUUAACAUUUGGCUCCCAGGACCCCAGGUAAAGUGCCCUUGGAUUGAAUAGAUUUCUGAACUCCAGAAACAUUUAGAGGAAUCAAUAGAAUUAGAUUGGCAGCCAUUGUGCCAAUGGACAAGUGCUUACUGAGCCCCUUAAUCCCUUCACUGGGUAAGCAUUUGCCACACAUGUCCUCAAAAACCUACUUGUUAGCUUAAGUGGACUCCCUCAAGUUCAGAACAGGAGCAAAUAGUGUAAUCACAAGUUCCGUGUCUGAAUAAUCAUAACAAUGUUUAUAAAAAUAAGGACGACUGUUGAAAACUGCAACUGCAGCUGAACCUUAUGUGCCCAGACUUCAGAAUUCCCAUAGGCAAAAUGCCAGCAGGCCUUUGCACACUGAACACAUAGUGUUCAUAUCCUUCACUUUCCUUUCCUGCCCUCUCCUAUCUUCUCCAGAUCUGCCUGUGAAAGGACCCAAUUCUAGGACCCCCCAGGAUGGUUAGGCCCUUCCUCUGAAAGUACACUUUGCAAUUUGUUAGUCUCCUCAAGAACCCCAGCGAUCGAAACUGAUGCACACAAAUUGCAUGUGUUCAAAGGAGCAAUUUUGAAUCUAGCUUUGUUGAUCCUGGGAGAAAUCUUUGACCUGUGUUAGUGAAAGGCUAUGGUGUUUCUCAGCUGAUUAUAAUAGCGAGGUAGCUGAAUGCAAAAAAACAGUUUCAGAGAAUGGUAGAGUAUAUCCUCCAAAGGUGAUACUCGCUUCUCUAUUCUGGUGAGAGAAACAAGAGCUAAAGCAAAAUUCUACAGAGGGCUUUAUUUGGAGAGAGGUGGAUUUUAUUUAUAAUGCAUUUAAAAUUCAAAAUCUUUCUAGUUUGAACUCUUGACAUUCUGAUUAAUGCAUUUUUAUUCAACUGUUAAUUAUUCCUCGAUACACCUCGCCAUCACUUGUGUAUCCCUUUUCUACAUGUGACCUUUCCCUGGCCACAUCUGCUACUCUCUUUGAGCAUGAUGCCUCUACUGUAUUCUAUUCCAGAGCUCAUUGUUUUGUCAGUUUUUUUUCUCUCCACAAAAAAAGAUGAUCAAAUAAUUACAUAGAAUUUUUCCCUUCUCAGUCUUUGGGUAACUAAGUGUGGUUUUAUUGACGAUGAAAUACAAGAUGGGUCAUUUAAAAGCAACUUCUUGUCAUCACUUGGUAUUUUGCUAAAUCCACGGUGAGCUGGAGCUCCCGUAGUCACCUAUCACCGCGUGUAUUUUAAGGAGUCAGAUAUUCUCGAAACUGUUAAGAUCAUGAAAGACAAAGAGACUAAGGAACUGUCACAGAUUAAAGGAGACUAAAGAUACUUGACAACUGAAUGUAAUAUAUGACACUCAACCGGCUCCUGUACCAGAAAAAGGACAUUGGUUAUAUUGGUGAGGUUUGAAUAUCUGUAGAUUACCAAUACUAUUCUUGGUUAUGGUGGUUAUGUAAGAUUUAGAGAAGUUGAAUAAAGGAUAUAAGGACAUUUUUGUACUAUUUUUGCAACAUUUAAAAAAGUCUGAAAGUUUAAAAACUUUUUAAAAAAGAAGGAAAAAGAAACAAGGAGCAAGCAUCCAGGAAAAUAGAAAAUAGAGUCUCAUUCUGUCACCCAGGCUGGAGUGCAGCGGCACGAUCAUAGCUCACUGCAGCCUCAAACUCCUAGGCUCAAGUGAUCCUCCCACCUUAGCCUUCCAAAUUGCUGGGAUUACAGGUAUGAGCCACUGCACCCAGCCGAGAAGAAUAUUAAUGAUGAUGAUGAUGAUGAUGAUGAUGAUGUUGAUAAUGAUAUAUGGCUGGUCAGUUAAUCAAAACUAAUUCCUCCAUUGAGACAUAGUGCUGUGUUAGUAAUUAUUGUGUUUCUGGAAGCUAUGUAAAAUAUAAGUCUAAUUAAGAGGAACUAAAGCUAAGGCAAUGCCUAGUAAUUCUCAAGGAAAAACAAGGAAGAGAGUCAGAAAUGACACUUUU
rnacentral:lncRNA from 1 species